ACAUGCAAGUCGAACGAUGAAGUUCCUUCGGGAAUGGAUUAGUGGCGAACGGGUGAGGAACACGUGAGAAACCUGCCUUUCAUUCUGGGAUAACACCGGGAAACCGGUGCUAAUACCGGAUACUCCAUCUUGGCGGCAUCGCCGAGCUGGGAAAAAAUUUUGAUGAAAGAUGGUCUCGCGGCCUAUCAGCUAGUUGGUGAGGUAAAGGCUACCAAGGCGACGACGGGUAGCCGGCCUGAGAGGGCGACCGGCCACACUGGGACUGAGACACGGCCCAGACUCCUACGGGAGGCAGCGGUAGGGAAUAUUGGGCAAUGGGCGAAAGCCUGACCCAGCGACGCCGCGUGAGGGAUGAAGGUCUUCGGAUUGUAAACCUCUUUCAGUAGGGAAGAAGCGAAAGUGACGGUACCUAAAGAAGAAGCACCGGCUAACUAUGUGCCAGCAGCCGCGGUAAUACAUAGGGUGAAGCGUUGUCCGGAAUUAUUGGGCGUAAAGAGCUCGUAGGUCGUUUGUCGCGUCGAUUGUGAAAAUCUGAGGCUCAACCUCAGACCUGCAGCCGAUACGGGCAAACUAGAGUGUGGUAGGGGAGACUGGAAUUCCUGGUGUAGCGGUGGAAUGCGCAGAUAUCAGGAGGAACACCAAUGGCGAAGGCAGGUCUCUGGCUUUUACUUGACCUUGAGGAGCGA
rnacentral:rRNA from 1 species